rnacentral:rRNA from 1 species
CCUACGGGGGGCGGCAGUGGGGAAUAUUGCACAAUGGGGGAAACUCUGAUGCAGCGACGCCGCGUGAGUGAAGAAGUAUUUCGGUAUGUAAAGCUCUAUCAGCAGGGAAGAAAAUGACGGUACCUGAUGAAGAAGCCCCGGCCAACUACGUGCCAGCAGCCGCGUUAAUACGUAGGGGGCAAGCGUUAUCCGGAUUUCCUGGGUGUCAACGGAGCGUAGACGGCAGCACAAGUCUGGAGUGAAAUGCCGGGGCUUAACCCCGGAACUGCUUUGGAAACUGUGCAGCUAGAGUGCAGGAGAGGUAAGUGGAAGUCCUAGUGUAGCGGUGAAAUGCGUAGAUAUUAGGAGGAACACCAGUGGCGAAGGCGGCUUACUGGACUGUAACUGACGUUGAGGCUCGAAAGCGUGGGGAGCAAACAGGAUUAGAUACCCUUGUAGUC